GCUGGGCAUGGUGGUGCAUGCAAAUAGUCCCAGCUACUCAGGAGGCUGAGGUGGGAGGAUCACUUGAGCUGGGGAGUUCUAGGCUAUAAUGUGCUAUGCCGAUGAGGUGCCUGCAUAAAAGUUCAGCAUCCAUAUGGUGACUUCCUAGGAGUGGGGGAUCCCAUAAUUGCCUAAGGAGGGGAUGAACUGGCCCAGGUUAGAAACAGAACAGGUCAAAACUCCUGUGUUGAUCAGUAGUGGCAACAGACCUGUGAAUAGCCACUGCACUCCAGCCUGGGCAAUACAGCAAGACCCUCAUCUCU
ensembl:misc_RNA Metazoa_SRP Metazoan signal recognition particle RNA